rnacentral:tRNA from 1 species
GGCGCGGUAGGCAAUGGAAGACCACUGAUGCUCAGAACAUCAGAUGCUGCGGGUUCGAAUCCCGUCUGCGCUAC